UGGCCUAAUGGUUAAGGCUAUGGAUCGCCAAUCCGGAAACGACGGGUUCGAUUCCCGU
rnacentral:tRNA from 1 species